rnacentral:tRNA from 1 species
UGCUCUGUGGCGAAGCUGGUUAACGCACCCUAUCUAGCGAAUUGGGAAAACGUGGGUUCCAGUCCCAUCAGGACUA